CAUGGUGCGUCCUAUUCCUUAUUCUUUAAGUAAAGAAUGGUGGAUAACGUAAUAAAGCUUAAGUCCACAGGGCUCAGGGCAGGCCCGAGGAGCAAGCGGCUCUACAAUCCUACGGAGCACACUGAGCCACUUUCCCUCAGGGCCUCUCAAGGGCAGGAAGGCUCCUCCCUCAGACCACCAGGCCCUGAGGUAAAGAUGGCAUCUCAAGUCAGAGGAAACACCACACCGGGAGAAACAAACUGGGGAGACGGGUCUGUGGCACGAUCCGCAGGCAGCAAACACACCUGACUGCCCGUCGCCGCUGCACUUCGCUCGCCCCUUGCGCCUGGAGGCCUGAGCUUCGCGAGGUCCGCCCUCGCCACAGUGCAUGCUGGGCUUUGGCUUUUGCGCAGCCGCAGACCCAGCUCUGACAGAAGGCUGCUGUCAACCAUGAAGGUUGUGCGGGAGGCAGAUUCAUUGGCUAAGGAAAGGAAAGCAAGACGUGACGACCCUUGCCAGCAGUUGCAGCAGAGACAGGUUCCUCUAAGUACGUGUAUGUGAGCACAAAGACCUCCAUGCCUCCUCCAACCUUUAUGUGUGUUCCAGGAAAUGAACUCUAGUCUUCAGGCUUGUUCAGUGAGCACCUUUACCUUUGCACCGUCUUACAGACCCAAGCAAGAACUUCCCAAAAAAGGACUUCAGUGUCUCAGGGAAUUCUCAAAAAAAAUCAAUUCAAAAAUAUUAUAUUUAAGGACAACAAUAAAAAGAAAUCAACACAA